AUUGAACGCUGGCGGCAGGCCUAACACAUGCAAGUCGAACGGUAACAGAAAGCAGCUUGCUGCUUUGCUGACGAGUGGCGGACGGGUGAGUAAUGUCUGGGAAACUGCCUGAUGGAGGGGGAUAACUACUGGAAACGGUAGCUAAUACCGCAUAACGUCGCAAGACCAAAGAGGGGGACCUUCGGGCCUCUUGCCAUCGGAUGUGCCCAGAUGGGAUUAGCUAGUAGGUGGGGUAACGGCUCACCUAGGCGACGAUCCCUAGCUGGUCUGAGAGGAUGACCAGCCACACUGGAACUGAGACACGGUCCAGACUCCUACGGGAGGCAGCAGUGGGGAAUAUUGCACAAUGGGCGCAAGCCUGAUGCAGCCAUGCCACGUGUAUGAAGAAGGCCUUCGGGUUGUAAAGUACUUUCAGCGGGGAGGAAGGGAGUAAAGUUAAUACCUUUGCUCAUUGACGUUACCCGCAGAAGAAGCACCGGCUAACUCCGUG
rnacentral:rRNA from 1 species